AUGUUGCUAGAUAUUGGCUAUAAGGGCCGUUUUUGGACCUUUGAGAAAAAGGUGGCCGGGGGAAGUUUCACACGGUGUAGGCUUGACAGAGCGUUGGUGAGCGCGGAGUGGUUGGCGAGGUUCCCAACGGCUUCUCUAACACAUCUCACGGCAGCUUCUUCUGAUCACGCCCCGCUGCUGCUCGAGUUUGGAGGCCACCAGGAGACUCGGAUAAACCAUACGUUCAAGUACGAGCUGAUGUGGGAGACUCAUGAGCAGCUUAGAGAGACGAUACUAAGGGGAUGGGAUCCAGGAGCGCCGUGUGCUACGGUCGAAGAGAUGCGAGCCAAGCUCCAGAACUUGUCUCAAGGUCUUGGUAAGUGGAGCAAUGAUACUUUCGGAAGUGUGCGGAAGGAAAUUAAAAAAUUGAAGCAGAUGUUGGAGGAGCUGCGUAAUGACCCACUAAGGAUGGCGCCGUCUCAUGUAGAACUAAAAAUCAAUGAGAAGUUAAUUGAGAUGUACCACCGCGAAGAAAUUAUGUGGCGACAAAGGGCACGGUUGGAAUGGCUCACGGAGGGGGACAAGAAUACAAAAUUUUUCCAUCUGCGUGCUAGUCUCAGGAGGAAAAAGAAUAUGAUAAAGGCUCUACAGAAUUCUUUAGGGGUGGAAAUAAGUGACCCGGCAGAGUUGAAGGAAAUGGCAAAUACGUUUUACCAGAAUUUGUAUGCUUCAGAAGGAGUCCAGAAUAUGGACGGAGUCUUGGCGCAUGUUCCCAGAAAGGUAACAACAGCAAUGAAUGAGACAUUAUGUGCGCACUAUACCAGUCAAGAAGUUAAAACUGCCUUGUUCCAAAUGUUUCCCACCAAGGCACCCGGACCGGACGGCUUUCCGGCUCAUUUUUACCAAAGACAUUGGGAUAUUUGUGGGGAAGAGGUCACCAAGAUAGUUUUGAGGAUUGUUAGGGGACAGGAAAGCCCCGAAUGCAUCAAUGACACAAUUCUUGUUCUUAUUCCCAAGGUAAUGAACCCCACAAUUUUAGCUCAGUUUCGGCCCAUCAGUUUAUGCAAUGUUCUUUAUAAGAUUGCUUCAAAAGUAGUUGCAAAUAGACUGAAAGUUAUCUUGCCUGACAUUAUUUCGGAGGAGCAAUCGGCCUUUGUCCCGGGUAGACUGAUUACAGAUAACAUCAUAUCUUCUUAUGAGUGUUUGCAUUUUAUGAAACAGACAAAAUCAAAAAGUAACAGUUAUUGUGCUCUGAAGUUGGAUAUGAUGAAAGCCUAUGACAGAUUAGAGUGGUCCUACCUAAGAGCGAUAAUGGCCAAGCUUGGUUUUGCACGGCAAUGGAUUGAUAUUGUUAUGAGUAUGGUCUCCUCAGUUUCUUUCUCCGUGUUGUUCAAUGGUGAGAAGCUUGAUGCUUUCAAACCAUCAAGAGGAAUCCGACAGGGAGACCCAAUUUCUCCUUACUUGUUCUUGAUUGCAGCAGAGGGCCUUUCGUGCCUUCUGAAAUCCAGUUCUCAGUCAUCAAAUUUAGCAGGUAUUAAGGUGGCUCCCUCGGCGCCCACCAUUAAUCACCUUUUGUUUGCAGAUGACAGCCUGUUGCUUUUCAAGGCCAAUGUGGAGGGGUCAGUUGAAGUGUCAAACCUGUUGGAUACAUAUUGCAAUGCAUCAGGACAGAGAAUUAAUCAUGAAAAGUCCUCUAUUUUCUUCAGUAAGGGGUGUCCUGGGCUGGUCAGAGAAGCAGUGAAGAAUUCUUUGCAGGUCCAUAAUGAAUCUCUCAGUGAACGUUAUCUAGGGAUGCCUACUGAUGUUGGCCAAUCCAAGAAUGGGACCUUUAAAUAUCUAAGAGAUCGAGUAUGGGAGAAAAUUAAAGGAUGGAUGGAGAAGCUUUUAUCAGCGGCAGGGAAGGAAGUAUUAAUCAAAUCGGUGGCACAAGCUAUUCCGGUAUUCUCUAUGUCAUGUUUCAGACUCCCCCGAGGACUGUGUGAGAACAUCACUUCAAUCAUACGCCAGUUCUGGUGGGGCUCGAAGCAAGGAAGAAGAAAGCCAAGUUGGGUGGCAUGGGACGUGUUGACAAGACCAAAGCACCUCGGAGGUUUAGGUUUCCGGGACUUAGAGAUCUUUAAUUUGGCGCUCCUUGCUAGACAAGCAUGGCGCAUAAUGACCAAUGAUACGUCCUUGAGUGCCCGAAUGCUCAAAGCCAUAUAUUUUUUGGGAAGUAAUCUUCUAGACGCCGAGUUGGGGUCCCACCCUUCUCAGAUUUGGCGGGCGAUGUUGGAUGGGCGUGACAUUUUGGCACAGGGAAUUAUACGCAGAAUCGGAGAUGGGACAAGUACAGGCAUAUGGAUACAUAAUUGGAUACCUCGGGAUAAUUUCAAAAGGCCUAUCACAUCUCUGGUGACUAACCCACCGGCUAUGGUGAGUCAGCUCAUUGAUACCUCAACCGCUGCUUGGAACGAGAACUUGAUUAGAACAGUCUUCACACGUUUUGAUGCGGAGGAGAUCCUCAAAAUACCUUUGUGUACAAGACUAAUUUCAGAUUUCUGGGCCUGGCAUGAGGAAAGCAGUGGCAUCUUCACAGUUCGGUCGGCAUACCGAAUGAUCAUACGUACAAAGCUUAGUAGAGAGAGUUAG
rnacentral:rRNA from 1 species